GGUUGAUCCUGCCGGACCCGACUGCUAUUUGGGUGAGGAUAAGCCAUGCGAGUUGGAUGGGAUACCUAAACUUCCCAUAGCAAACUGCUUAGUAACACAUGAUCAACUUGCCCUAUGGAGAAAAAUAACCUCGGGAAACUGAGGAUAAUGUUUCAUAGUUGAAUAGGCUUGGAAAAGUUUUUCAAUGAAAGGAAUAAGAUAAAUGGAUCUUAUUUGCCAUAGGAUAGGAUCGUGGUCGAUUAUGGUAGUUGGUGAGAUAACGGCUCACCAAGCCGAUAAUCGAUAGGGGCCGUGAGAGCGGGAGCCCCAAGAUGGGUACUGAGACAGCGACCCAGGCCUUACGAGGCGCAGCAGGCGCGAGACCUCCGCAAUACACGAAAGUGUGACGGGGUUACCCAAAGUGUUCUCUUAAGAACUGUGGCAGGUGAGUAAUGUCCCCUGCUAGAAAGGAGAGGGCAAGGCUGGUGCCAGCCGCCGCGGUAAAACCAGCUCUUCAAGUGGUCGGGAUAAUUAUUGGGCUUAAAGUGUCCGUAGCCGGUUUAGUAAGUUCCUGGUAAAAUCGGGUAGCUUAACUAUCUGCAUGCUAGGAAUACUGCUAUACUAGAGGGCGGGAGAGGUCUGAGGUACUACAGGGGUAGGGGUGAAAUCUUAUAAUCCUUGUAGGACCACCAGUGGCGAAGGCGUCAGACUGGAACGCGCCUGACGGUGAGGGACGAAAGCCAGGGGAGCGAACCGGAUUAGAUACCCGGGUAGUCCUGGCCGUAAACGAUGCAUACUAGGUGAUGGUACGGCCAUGAGCCGUAUCAGUGCCGUAGGGAAACCGUUAAGUGUGCCGCCUGGGAAGUACGGUCGCAAGGCUAAAACUUAAAGGAAUUGGCGGGGGAGCACCACAAGGGGUGAAGCCCGCGGUUCAAUUGGACCCAACGCCGGGAAACUUACCAGGGGAGACAGUAGAAUGAGGGUCAGGUUGACGACCUUACCUGAUGAGCUGAGAGGAGGUGCAUGGCCGUCGCCAGUUCGUGCCGUGAGGUAUCCUGUUAAGUCAGGCAACGAACGAGAUCCGCGCCUUUAUUUGCCAACAAGAAGUUACGACUUCGUUGGGAACACUAAAGGGACCGCCGUCGAUAAGACGGAGGAAGGAGCGGGCAAAGGCAGGUCAGUAUGCCCCGAAACCCCUGGGCUACACGCGGGCUGCAAUGGUAUGAACAAUGGGCUGUAACUCCGAAAGGAGAAACCAAUCCCGAAAUCAUAUCACAGUGGGGAUUGUUGGCUGUGACCCGCCGACAUGAACGUGGAAUCCCUAGUAAUCGUGUGUCAUCAUCGCACGGUGAAUACGUCUCUGCUCCUUGCGCACACCGCCCGUCGCUCCAUCCGAGUGUACUAAAAAUGAGGUUUGGUCAGACUGGUCAUAUCGAGUUUCUAGUAUGCGAGGAGGGAGAAGUCGUAACAAGGUAGCCGUAGGGGAACCUGCGGCUGGAUCACCUCC
rnacentral:rRNA from 1 species